GUAGUUAGCCGGGGCUUCCUCCUUGGCUACCGUCACUUCCUUCGUCACCAAGGACAGAGGUUUACAAUCCGAAGACCUUCUUCCCUCACGCGGCGUUGCUGGGUCAGGCUUUCGCCCAUUGCCCAAUAUUCCCCACUGCUGCCUCCCGUAGGAGUCUGGACCGUGUCUCAGUUCCAGUGUGGCCGAUCAGCCUCUCAGCUCGGCUACCCAUCGCUGACUUGGUGAGCCGUUACCUCACCAACUAUCUAAUGGGACGCGAACCCCUCUUACAGCGGAUUGCUCCUUUGACCUCAUCCUGAUGCCAGGUCGUGGUCUUAUGCGGUAUUAGCAACAAUUUCUCGUUGUUAUCCCCCUCUGUAAGGCAGGUUAUUCACGCAUUACUCACCCGUUCGCCACUAAGAUAUCAACCGAAAUCAAUAUCUCCGUUCGACUUGCAUGUGUUAGGCACGCCGCCAGCGUUCGUCCUGAGCCAGGAUCAAACUCUGA
rnacentral:rRNA from 1 species